AUGCAUGUAAAGUAAAAAGAGGAGGGUGCCCAAGACUGAGCCUUGGGGAAUGCUUUUGAAUUGCCAGGAAGAAGAGAAUGGGCCUUCAAAGAAGAGCAAGAAGGGCUGGCAAGAGAGGAAGAAGGGAAACCAGGACAAAGUUGUUUCACUGAAUCCAAGAUAAGAUUAUCUGGACAAAGGAGAGAGUAGGCAACCACAGCAAAUACUGCUGAGAAGUUGCCAGUGGUGAGAACGGAAUGGUGUCCUUUGGAGUUGGCGGCGGACAUCGCCAUGGUAACACCCAUGGGAGAAUGGACAGAGGCAGUUGCCAUGGAUGGUGGGGCAAAAAUCCAGACUGAGAUGGGUGGAGGAAUGGAAGAAAGCAUAGAAAGUGGUGCCAGUAUGGGCACCCACUCUCUGAAGAAACUUCACCAAAGGGGAGCAGACAGCACAAGUAAACGUCUGUCUACCUAUUUCCUGUCCCAAUCAAACAUGGCUGUAAAAGAAAGAUCUUGAAGGAAGGACUGA